rnacentral:rRNA from 1 species
UACGAAGGGGGCUAGCGUUGCUCGGAAUCACUGGGCGUAAAGGGUGCGUAGGCGGGUCUUUAAGUCAGGGGGGAAAUCCUGGAGCUCAACUCCAGAACUGCCUUUGAUACUGAAGAUCUUGAGUUCGGGAGAGGUGAGUGGAACUGCGAGUGUAGAGGUGAAAUUCGUAGAUAUUCGCAAGAACACCAGUAGCGAAGGCGGCUCACUGGCCCGAUACUGACGCUGAGGCACGAAAGCGUGGGGAGCAAACAGG